AGUGAACGCUGGCGGUAGGCCUAACACAUGCAAGUCGAACGGCAGCACCGUAAGAGCUUGCUCUUACGGGUGGCGAGUGGCGGACGGGUGAGGAAUACAUCUGACUCUACUUUUUCGUGGGGGAUAACGUAGGGAAACUUACGCUAAUACCGCAUACGACCUACGGGUGAAAGCAGGGGAUCUUCGGACCUUGCGCGAUUGAAUGAGCCGAUGUCGGAUUAGCUAGUUGGCGGGGUAAAGGCCCACCAGGGCGGCGAUCCGUAGCUGGUCGGAGAGGAGGAUCAGCGACCUGGGAAGUGAACCACGGACCAGACGCCUGCGGGAGGGAGCAGUGGGGAAUGGGGGGCAAUGGGGGGAAGCCUGGUCCAGCCAUAGCGCGUCGGUGAAGAAGACCCUCGGGUUGGAAAGCCCUUUUGUUGGGAGAGAAAAGCAGCAGGUUGAGACGCCGCUGUACUGACGGUACCGAAAGAAUAAGCACCGGCUAACUUCGUG
rnacentral:rRNA from 1 species